rnacentral:rRNA from 1 species
AUACGUAGGGGGCAAGCGUUAUCCGGAUUUACUGGGUGUAAAGGGCGCGUAGGCGGCUUUGCAAGUCAGUAGUGGAAGUCCAUUUUUCAAGGAUGGAAGUGCUACAGAAACUGCGGAGCUUGAGUGCAGGAGAGGUUAUCGGAAUUCCCGGUGUAGCGGUGAAAUGCGUAGAGAUCGGGAGGAACACCAGUGGCGAAGGCGGGUAACUGGACUGCAACUGACGCUGAGGCGCGAAAGUGUGGGGAGCAAACAGGAUUAGAUACCCUGGUAGUCCACACUGUAAACGAUGAAUGCUAGGUGUAGGAGGUAUCGACCCCUUCUGUGCCGCAGUAAACACAGUAAGCAUUCCGCCUGGGGAGUACGGUCGCAAGAUUAAAACUCAAAUGAAUUGACGGGG